UAAUUAUUGAUUGUGUUCAAUUUCCUGGAUCUCUUAAAAAGUUUUAAUGAUCUUUCUACAACUUACUGCUUUUUAGACAAGAACAAAUGUUAUGCCACCAAUGUUUACUGUAUGGCCAGUAAUCAAGAAAGCCAGGAAGUGACAUUCCAUAUAAGCGCCACAACAGAUGGAGUCCUUACCCAUUGGUUCAUCACUGGAACUCUUAAGGCAAACACUGAGUGGGGUAACAGCAAGAGUAACUUCUUCUUGACUUGAUGUAAAAAGAACAAGUGCCUCAGCAAGCACUCUAUGAAAUGUAAUGAAAAGCAUUACGUUAUUUGAAAAACAAGAAGAAAGAAAGAAUCUUAUUAAGUGGGACUCCAAUCUUUACUCUGGAAAUAAACAGGUUAGUCAGCCUAGAUAUUUUUAAACUUACCCCCCCUCCAAAAAAAAAAAAAAAAAACCUAUCUUUUUUCUACAUGAGCUACGAUAUUUUUAGUAUAUUUUAAAAUUCAUCUGAAGGCCAAGAGAAUAGUAAAAUAUAUUCUUAGUAAGACAUGUGAAAGCUGCAGAAUAAACCAGACACUGGAAGAAAUGUCUUUAAUUCUAUGGUUUUAUACACCCAACAUAUAUUUUUAAUGUCCUGCAAUCAUAAUCCUAAGGGAGGUACUAGAAAAUACAGCUGUUCAGAUAGAACUGGGUAGAACUGUGAUGGAGAUCCAGGUGAGGGGUAGAAGUUUACAAGCAGCCUGCUGCUUAUUAUAUUCCCUUUCCCUUUGUUAUGUGUCCUAGAUUAUUACCUAUUACUUUCAAGGCUGUCUUGACAUCCCAAAUGCCCUUUUAUCCUGAGCUCCCUUUUUAAAAACAGCUUUUUUGUUACAGGAUUCACAUACUGUACUAUUCACAGAUUAAAAGGUUUUCAAUUUGUAUUUCCCUAUUAAUGAUAUUGAGCACCUUCUCAUGUGCUUUUCAACCAUUGAUAUAUCUUCUUUGGCAAAAUAUCCAUUCAAAUCCUUUGUCCAUUUUUAAUUAGGUUACUUUUUAUUAUUAUACCACAAAAUCUGGGCUACUUAUGAAAUUAAGGUUGUUGUCAAAUAAAAAUGAGAUUCUUAGAAUUUAUGUAAUGUUGAUGUUAACCCAAUGCUAGACAUUAGCUUAGCAGUGUUUCUUGAUACCAAAAUAUGAGGAACACCUACCAAAUUCAUCUAGGAACUUUUACAGUGUUAUGGGGGAAGUGUUUUACCAGAUAUCAAAUAACCUGACACCAAAAAAAAAAAAAAAGAUAAUAUAAAUGUGCAAUUCAAAAAGAAAAAUACAAUUGCCAAUAAAUAUAUGAAAAGAUGUUCAAACUUCCAAGCAAUCAAUGCAACAAAAAAGAACAUCUAAUAAUACAAUUUUCUACCUAUCAGGUUGGCAAAAAUUUUAAAGAUUGAUCAUAUCUGUUACUUGAAAGGAUUCCCCUACACUUCUGGUGGGAAUGUAAAUUGGCAUAAUGUUUCAGACAGCAAUUUGGUAAUCAGUAUGUUUGCAGAUCUAAAACUUGGUAAGCCUUUGGCCCAGCUUUUUCAUUUCUAGGACUCUGUGCUAAACUGCCUAGAUAAGAUGGCCCCCAGUGAUCCCCACUUCCUGGUAUUCAUGCCAUCAUAUAAUCCCCUGCCCCUGACUAUGGGCUUAAUUUACAGAAUCACUUCUAACAAACAAAAUGGCAGAAGUGAUGAAACGUCAGUUCUGAGAUUAGGUUACAAGAAGACUUUGGCUUCCAUUUGUGAAUUCUCUCUCUCCAUCAGUUACCUCAAUCACCAAUCUCUCUCUCUGAUUACCAGUGGCCAUGUUGUGAGGACAAUCAUAUUGUCCACAGAGAGGCCUCAGAGAGUGUGGUGAGAAACUGAGGCCUACCAGCAACCAGACGAGUGAGCUUAGAAGCCGUCUUCUGAGGCCUCCCCGUAGUCAUGUCGGUGAAUCCCCCCAGGCCCAGCCUUCAGAUGAGACUGCAGCCCUGGCUGCCAGCUUGACUCCAACUCCAUGAGAUACCUUGAACCAGAUGCACCCAAUUAAGCCUCACUUAUAACUAUGAAAUAAUAAAUGUCUGGUUUCUGAAAGCUCUGAGUUUGGGGAAGUUUUGUUCCACAGAAAUAGGCAACCAAUAUACUUUCUCUGGAUGGCAAAAAAGCUGGAAACAACCUACUUUUUUCAGUACUAGGAUAAUGAGUAACUAAAUUAUGGUUCAGUCAUUACAGUGAAAAACUAUGCAAAUAUUAAUAACAAUAAAAUUGGGAUCCCUGGGUGGCGCAGCGGUUUGGCGCCUGCCUUUGGCCCAGGGCGUGAUCCUGGAGACCCGGGAUCGAAUCCCACAUCGGGCUCCCGGUGCAUGGAGCCUGCUUCUCCCUCUGCCUGUGUCUCUGCCUCAUUCUCUCUCUCUCUCUGUGACUAUCACAAAUAAAAAAAAAAAAAAUAAAUAAAUAAAUAAAAAUAAAUAAAAUUGAUUUAAGUGAACUGACACAGAAACUUAAAAAAGCAAGUUCCCAAACAAUAAUAGUAGGAUAUUUUUUUGAAAAAAAUUGUAAGUAUGUGUCUAGUAUGUAAUAUAAAUUUGAGAGGGGAAGGAAGGAAGAAAGAAAAAAGAAUAUCCAUAGCUGUAGGGAGAGGGUGAGUUACAAAGAUAUUAUCUAUACAGAGAAGGUAAUCUACAAGAAUAUACACCAAACUGUUGAUUGAUGUCACCUCUGCCAAGUGGGAUAAAAGGGACAGGUAGAGGGGAAAGUCCUUUCAUUUUUUAUGCUUGCACUCCUCUAUAAACUCGAGAUGUAUUAUAAGGGGCACGUAUUGCUUGUGUAAUUAAAAAAACAAUAAGGAUAAAAUAUUUUUUGGUUCGCAAAGUAAUUAAUGUUUAAUGCUACAGCUUAACUAAAAAAAUGAGUGCACUUACACUGACAAAUGCACCUAACUCCUCUAAAG
rnacentral:lncRNA from 1 species